GAGGCUGGGUCGCGGCCAGACCCAGCCGUUUGCGCUAGGCCCCUCGCGGGGUGCGGCAGGUCGCCAGCGGAGGACCUCUUGGGGGCGCGACCCGGUCUCGGGUGGUUCCAGUGACACUGCUGGGAAAGAAAAGAGCCGCCGAGAGCCCCUCUUUCCGGAGCCACGUCGGCUUGCUGGAACUCAGGGUCGAGGUGUACCAUCCUGUAUAUGUAGUAGAGGCAGAACGGCCAAAAGACCAAGUGGGUGUGUGGGCCUGACUCUGAUCUUGAUCUUGGAGUUGGUCCACGCAGACCGACCAGCCUGACGCCCUGCAUUGGCCCAGACACACAGUUCUAUGAGGACUUCGAAGCCAAGAAGGAGUUAACCUGGCAUCCUCUGGAGUCACCUCAAGUCUUCUGAUUCUCUUGGGUCAGUGAUAGUUCUUCCUGGACCCUGAUGUGACCCUGAGAAAACUGGCUCCACUUUCAGUCCUGGGAGGUGAUGCUGGGGAUCAAGCUCAGGGCCUCCCACAUGCCAGGCAAGUGCUCUACCACUGAGCCACAUCCCCAACCCUCCUGGAGAUUCUUUAAGAAGGAAUAGAGGAGGGUUUGUAAUAAGUCCAGAAGGGUGUUCCUGCCUAAAUCUAAAUUUUUACUCCAAUUUUAUUAAUACAAGCACUUCUAUCCUUUCAGCACUCCUUUGUUCACAGUUGUAUAUACUGCUCUGAAAACAAUGUUUGGUCCA